UACGUAGGGGGCAAGCGUUAUCCGGAUUUACUGGGUGUAAAGGGAGCGUAGACGGUGAAGCAAGUCUGGAGUGAAAUGCCGGGGCCCAACCCCGGAACUGCUCUGGAAACUGUUUGGCUGGAGUGCAGGAGAGGUAAGCGGAAUUCCUAGUGUAGCGGUGAAAUGCGUAGAUAUUAGGAGGAACACCGGUGGCGAAGGCGGCUUACUGGACUGUAACUGACGUUGAGGCUCGAAAGCGUGGGGAGCAAACAGG
rnacentral:rRNA from 1 species